GAUGAACGCUGGCGGCGUGCCUAAUACAUGCAAGUCGAGCGAACAGAUGAGGAGCUUGCUCCUCUGACGUUAGCGGCGGACGGGUGAGUAACACGUGGAUAACCUACCUAUAAGACUGGGAUAACUUCGGGAAACCGGAGCUAAUACCGGAUAAUAUAUUGAACCGCAUGGUUCAAUAGUGAAAGACGGUUUUGCUGUCACUUAUAGAUGGAUCCGCGCCGCAUUAGCUAGUUGGUAAGGUAACGGCUUACCAAGGCGACGUUGCGUAGCCGACCUGCGAGGGUGAUCGGCCACACUGGAACUGAGACACGGUCCAGACUCCUACGGGAGGAAGCAGUAGGGAAUCUUCCGCAAUGGGCGAAAGCCUGACGGAGAAACGCCGCGUGAGUGAUGAAGGUCUUCGGAUCGUAAACCUCUGUUAUUAGGGAAGAACAAAUGUGUAAGUAACUAUGCACGUAUUGACGGUACCUAAUCAGAAAGCCACGGCUAACUACGUG
rnacentral:rRNA from 1 species